rnacentral:rRNA from 1 species
CACGUAGGGUGCGAGCGUUGUCCGGAAUUAUUGGGCGUAAAGAGCUCGUAGGCGGUUUGUUGCGUCGGCUGUGAAAUCCCGAGGCUCAACCUCGGGUCUGCAGUCGAUACGAGCAAACUAGAGUGCUGCAGGGGAGACUGGAAUUCCUGGUGUAGCGGUGAAAUGCGCAGAUAUCAGGAGGAACACCGGUGGCGAAGGCGGGUCUCUGGGCCGUAACUGACGCUGAGGAGCGAAAGCAUGGGGAGCGAACAGG